rnacentral:rRNA from 1 species
UACGUAGGUGGCAAGCGUUGUCCUGAAUUACUGGGUGUAAAGCGCGUGUAGGCGGCAGGCCAAGUCUGCGGUGAAAGCGCCCGGCUCAACUGGGCGAGGUCCGUGGAAACUGGUCAGCUGGAGGACGGUAGAGGCGAGUGGAAUUCCCGGUGUAGUGGUGAAAUGCGUAGAGAUCGGGAGGAACACCUGUGGCGAAGGCGGCUCGCUGGGCCGGUCCUGACGCUGAGACGCGAAGGCGUGGGGAGCGAACGGG